GUGACGCUACGGACUUAAAAUCCGUCGACUUUUAAAAUC
rnacentral:tRNA from 1 species